AAUCGUGGAGUCUAAGGUGAAGAGGCGCUGUGAGGGUAAUCGUUGGCAAGGAAAGAGCACUUUCAGUGAGGGCGUGAAGGCAAGGAUGGAGACUCGGAGCUGUACUUAGAAAGGGAGUGACUCGGUUGUGUUGCGGUGCGGAGAAAGUUGCAGGCGGUCUCCUAGGAGAUUGGAAUCAAUUGGUCCAUUUACCCCCAUCCAAAACCUCUGUUCUGCCGAGCUUGCAUUAAAUUAGGACUUAACAUCUGGCAAGACAAGAACACCUACAGAAGGAGAGCAUGGGCCCAGAUGCCCAGAUAUUGCACCCUCAGCUCCUUCGAGGAGCAGGCUGCAGGGUUGGCAGGGGAGGCUAUUUCCUGUAGCAGAUGGCUGGCUUAGUGAGUUAAUCAUUCUGGUUUGUCUGUUGGCUAUCAACAUCCUGCUCAGACACUGGCUCCAGCCUCAGAUACGAUCUGGAUGUGGACACAGCUCUAACGAAAAUGUGCACUACCAGAGAAUGUCACCAGAGAUUGGCUUUGAUAUGAAGCCAAUGGAAUGAAAAACCAGAAGAAUCACGAGAUCCGGCAUCUAUGGUCUGUCUUCGUAAUGAAUAUCAAGAUUAAGUGAGCUUUUUCUUUUCUUAUCCUUAGGAUGCUUCUGUCAACCGUGAACUCAUAGAUUGCAGCAGAGUGAUUUUUGUACCAUCCCAGUGACUAUGAAGGAAAGGUUGGAACUUUCACAGUUUCCCAUCCCUGUCCAACUUCCUGCACAGAUGUACAUACAAUUUCCUCAAAACUGGGAAGACAAUGGAAUCAGCUUGUCAUUUGAAAUCCACUGCUUUGUGGGUUAUUUCGUUUGACGUCCCUCUUUGUCAAAAUAUGCAUCUGCGAAACACCUUGGGAUGUUUUCAAACAUUAAAUGAGUUAAAUAAAUGCAAUAAAGCCAGAAAAUGCUGGUAACACUCAGCAGGUCAGACAACAUCUGUGAAGGGAAACAGAAUUAGUAAUUUCAGACUGAGGACCUUUCAUCAGAACUGCUGAUUAAAUGCAGAUUGUAGUGAUUGUUAGUGUCGUUCAUCAGUUCUCUGGCCACACUGCUUUAAUCAAUCAUUUCCAGGUGACAAAAACAUCAAAUGUCAAGAUGAGAAUUGUCCAGUGGAAAUGGUAGUGUUAUUACUCUUUAGAAAGUAUUUUCUGGAUUUGAAUCAGUAAUUAUAAAAAAGAAAGAAGUCCUAGGUGAAUGGUUUUGCAUGGCAGGUCUUCAAAGUGCGUUUGGUCACUUAGUUAACAUGAUCUAGUAAUCUAUUGGCACUGAUAUGAAAUAGACACAAGGACCUAUCCUAGCACAUAGUAUUACGUUCUUAUGUUCUGUGUUUCAUUAUGAUUGAACUGGCAAGCUCUGGAUAUGUAAUGGGUAUCCCCAGACAUCUCGCCAGAAAAGAGACCCUUUGGAUCUCUAUCCGCUGGAACGUGUGGCCUGUGAGGUUCUAUGAUAGACAUCUAGAAUGCCCAAGGAAAGAAAAAGCUGUCAAAUAUGUAGUUAUUUGCUUCAGUUUCAUAAUUUUAUUUCAUACACACUCUAUCUGCAUGGAAAUUGUAAAUCUCCUUUUGAAUGCAUUUAUGAUGCCAUUACCUUCAGUGUAAUUUCUCCCUUAUUUCAAUAAAGCCACUGUCAACUUUGAAAACUCCUGUGCCCCAAGGUAGAUAUCAAUUUGAUGAGUGUUACAACAAUGAAGAACAGGAAGUUGUAAUAUCAAUAAUACCCACUUUCUAUCCACCAUUAUGUCAAAAAACAAACAGAUCAGGUUUUAAUCAAUCAAGCAGUGUAACA